GGGGGGGGGACAGGGCCGUCAGCCAUGGCGCAGGCACAGGGCCUCAGAUGGUGCAGUUGCUCUCUCCGAAGCGCCGGCACUUCAUCACCUUCAGGUAGGUCUCCACUUUGUGCAGAUCCUUCUUGAAGCAGGACAGCAGGCCGUAGUUCUUCAGCAGGGCGUCCUCGUUGCGCAGGUGGAUGUCGAACUUGUCGUAGUUUUCUAGUGGGCAGAGCUCUGACCCAGCCCUGGCCGUCGUGGAGCUGUGAGCUGCACCCACUGCUCACCCCGCGUGGCUCGGAAGAGUUUGGGGUAAGUAAGCAGCAGUGGAAGGGAUGGAGAUGGUCUGCGUAUCGGUUGUCAGCACCUGCGCUCGUAUCAGUGGACAGUAAGAUCUGGAAGUGGUGCUGCACAUGGAGCUGCAGCUGAAGUGUCAUGGAAUCACGGCGUGGUUGGGUUGGAAGGGGCCUCUGAGAUCAUGGAACCAUGGAAUGAUGACAUGGUUGGGUUGGAAGGGACCUUAAGGAUCACAGAACCAUGGAAUCGUGGCACCGUUGGGUUGGAAGGGACCUCAAGGAUUGCAGGGCUGUGGAAUCACAGCACAGUUGUGUUGGAAGGGAUCUCAGAGCCCCCCCGUCUCACCCCCUGCCAUGGGCUGGGUGCCCCCCACCAGCUCAAACUGCCCAGGGCUCCAUCCAUGGCCUUGGGACCUCCAGGGAUGGGGCACCACAACUUUUCUGAUCGAAAAUGUCAGGACGGAGGGUUUGUUUGCUCCCAGGCCUGGCUUUUCUAGUUAUUUAGGGUCUAUAAGACAUAAACAACUGUCCAGACUCAUGUGGCAUAGAUGUGGGUUUCUAGCUGUGGUGAUGCUGAACACAUCCAAGAAAGGAUUCUGACAAUAAGCAGCGUCAUUCAAAAUAACAAAGCAAAACUUCAUCAUAGAGUUAUUAAGGUUGGAAAGACCUCCAAGAUCCCAAAGCCCAACCCCAACCCACUCCCGCCGUGCCCAUAACCACGUCCCUCAGUGCCACAUCUCCACGUCCCUGGGACGCCUCCAGGGACGGUGACCCCCCCACCUCCCUGGGCAGCUGUGCCAAUGCAUUAAGAGUGACCUUUCUGAAGAACACUCUCCAGCUGCUCGUGGUCUGGGUGCUGUGUUAAUCCAAAUGUCAGGUAAGAGAAAUAUCAGAGCGCAGGCUUCCAUCAGUACGCAGACCUACCCUCAUCAGGGCUUGGAUCCCUUCUUCCAGGUCCUUUAGUUUCUCAAACACUCUGUCUGAGGUGCCAAAAACCAAGUUGUUCGUGAACACCUUGCUUAGGUAUUGCACGGGGGUGAGCCAGGACUGGAUGAGAACCAGUGAAAACCGAAGCAGCUCCAUGUCCUGAAAUGACAAAGGGAUUUCAGAGCUGUGCAGGGUGUGAAAAGUAAGAAGGCAUUUCUCCUUCUCAGGACUGAUACCACGUGGAGACCCUCUGUUCCAUAAAACAGUGCUGUGUUUACCCAGGGGAGACAACUUACUGACUUCUGCUGGGCGUCAUCCUUCCCCGUGGGAGCUGGGAUGGUUUCUGAGUAACAAAACGCAGCCUGGGAGUUUUUGUUGGUGUACCUCUGGUCCUCCGGAAUAUAGGUUGCUCUUUGCAAGAAGGAAACGUGGGACGUGAUGUGCAUCCCUGUGCAGGACUGGCAGGUGGGAAAGCAGAGCCCACGUGUUGGCACAACACCUACUGGUCUUAGAGAUUGCUCUCACUGAAGGGUUGAGGUGAGCACAGAACACAUGGACAGGAGGAGGUGACUCCUUGCAGGAGGAGGCAGAGAGCUGUGAGGAGGACAGGCUGGUCGGUCAUCACCUGUCCUACCCUUUUAAGACCCUUUCUCCUCCUCAGGAGGCACCGAUAGCUGAAAAGUCUCUGCUUGCAGGAAUUUAUGCAGGGUGGGAAGCCGUGGCACGGUCCUGGAGGCAUCAAGCUAAUGAGGAGAUGGCCAACACUUACGAACUCUUUAUAUGUCUCGGCAGCCAGGAGGUGGAGGUGCUGAGCCCUCAGCACAGCGUUGGCAAACAGGUUGGAGAGGGGCAUGGCAGGGAAGGUGGCAGCAGCUUCCUGCGGCAGUCCCAGCGUGACCACAGCGAUGAGGAGAGGAGAAAACCACGAGCCUACAGCAGAGCGGAGAGGAGAGGGGUUACCCGUCCUUUGGUGGCACCUGGGGCUCAGGGUUGUGUCCACCUGUUUCACCUUCCUGAGCAGAGCACGGUACGCUCUUUGGCGCGUGAGCCAACAGGAUGGAGAGCAGUGGGUGAGGACUGGGAACAGCUCAGCUGAGCCUAUUUGCACCGUGCUGCUGCCAUGGCACGGUCUGCCUUCACUGGGGUGAGAAGUGGCUGCAUUACCUGCGCUGUGGCUCUCUGGGACACACCUGUAGGAUCUGGAGGUCACUGUCAAGCCUGAAGGUUAUUAACCCUCGACAUCCAGCUCACAUGAGUGUCCGCUUACAAAAGUUAAUCUCAGUAGGGUUUAACUUCAGUGGAGGAAUGCCCUGGAGCCUGCAGGACUUGGACAAGUGCAAGGGGUUGAAAUUAGGUGAUCUUUGAAGUGCUUUUCAACCCAGGCCAUUCUAUGAGUCUGAUUAGACAUCAUCCUGAUCUCCGUUUUAAAGCCUUGGAACUGAGUUUUAAUAUCCCUGGCAACACAUAUGAUAGCAAUCACCAUUACAACUCUGGUUUGCCUUUGUCUUCGUAUUCUGCAGCUCAUUCCUGCCCCCUGUCAAGGUUAGGCUCAGGGUUACCUGAGUCAGCUCAUGGUUUGAAGUUGCACUGUAGGGAAGGAGAUCCUUUGUCACUGAUCUGUAAGUUGCCACAUUUUAGUUCAGAGCUGGCUCUGCGUGUGUACAGCCCACCACAGCACACCCCACCAUCAUAUCCCAUCACCCAAAGCAUGCAGCAGCAUUGGAACACCCAUUAGAACUGAGAUAAAGCAAAGUACCUGGAGCCAUUCCUGCCGGGAGAGUUGCUCAGGUGUUGCUUGAACGUUUCCUCCUUUCAUCCAGGUGAUGAUAACAGGUGAGACACCCCUUAUAUAGCUGGGGGUCUGUUUAAAAUGGAUGGGGGUGCUCGUGAUCACUGCCACCUCUCCAUAUCCCCUCCUUGCAUAAAUGCAGAUGUGUUCGCCAUGGUGCUACCUCAUUGUAGUCAUUUAUACGGAGAUGGAAAGGUUGGGGAGGAUGUUUGCCUGGGGAUAAAAUUAGUGCUGAACUUUUUCUUCAUAUUCUGCUGUUUAUUGCAACCAGAGGUUUUAUCACCAUUGAAAGACCCAUCCCAAAUCUGUUCUGUGCUUACGUGGGGGAAUUUCUCACGCAGGUAGAAAAUCCACCUGAUUUUCCUGCUUGGUUUUUCUGCCCCACGGUUAACAGGGCUGCCAGGGCAGUGCAGGGGACUUCUGGCUUAGAGCAGGUGGGAUGGUUUCCCAUUCAGUGGGUUAGAGCAGGAUGGAUGUUGUCACGAGCUUCACAGGCAGUGCUUGCUUGGAUCCACUGCAGAACCCGAUGGCAGAGCUCUGGUGGGUUUCCCACCUCCUCAGUUGGAUGAAGCUAUGGAGUCUGGCAAUCACAGCGAUCCCAGAGCCUUCUGCUCUUUGCUUGACGUGAAUGAGAACAAACUGGCAGUCAGCUGCUUUCUUCUUUUGCUUGGUAGGAAUGAUAGCUCUGGAUUAAGCAGAGGACUGGUGUGGAAAGGAGGAAGAGAAGAAGGGGAAGAGCAGAAGUCCCAGCACACCUAUCCCUGAGCCGCACGAGGUAGAACGUGGGAUGGACAACCACAGGAGGGCUUUCACUCCCCAUAGGGAACUAACAGCACUUUGCCCCCCUGGCUGUGGGUCCGACCUGCCCCUGGUUUGGCUCUGAUUUCCAAGAGCAGCAUCAUCACCGGAGCACAGGGUGUGAGAGCUCGUUAAUAAACGAGCUGUUCCGAGAAGCCCCGCGGUGUUUGCGCGCGUAAAUGUCAGUCCCCAGAGGAGAGGGAACAGUGGGUCCUGCAGCUAUCAGGUAUCCGGUCACCCAAUAGCCAGCAACAUCUGGGGGUGUUUUUCUGCUCCAGGUCGUGUUUAAAUAUGUCCAUGUUUGUCAGAGGUGAGCAGAGCAGCGGGCACCCCAGCUCUGCUGCUGGUAGUGACGAUGCCACAGCAGCGGCACUGAGCCCCACUGCACCGCUGCCCUGCCGCCCCUGCAGCUCUGUCAGUAAAAGCAUGGCAUGCUAAGACAACAUUUUCUAUCUUGCAGCCAGGAGAUGCCAUGUUCCAGGCUGUGCACUGCGCCAGGGGGCUGUUUUGUUUCCCCUGCUUGCAUUCAGUGGGGCAGAAGGCGGUGUGUGACUGAGAUUGCAUGCCACUGGCACAAUGACAGUUGCAUAAGCAGCUCUCAAAUAUCAGCUUGGCAUUCUUCUGCCUUUCACGUGCCCACGUGUGCAACCCAAAGGAUCAUGUCAGAAAGCAGCACGACGCUCAGUAACCUCCAAAAUGCUUGUAUUUGAAAGAGGGAAUCCUUCCCCUUCCCCUUCCUUUCCCCCUUCCUCUUUCCCCCUUCCCUUCCCUUUCCCAUUAUGUCCUUCCCUUCUCUUACCCCCUUCCCCCCAUUCCCCUUUCCCUUUCCUUCCCUGGUGGUCCCACAUCCACUUGCUUUGCUGUGAGCACCCCAGCAGUGUUUGGACAGAGGAGGCAAUGUUUCCUGCAGGUGUGUGUGUGUCCAACCACCCCCCGACGGUGGGAUACAAACCAGGCAAAAUCAGUAUAAAACUAAAACAAAACCCUUCUCUCUGCUUCCUUGAAGCCAAUCUGAGCGCUUAACACCACGCAGAAAUGCAGAAAUAUUUAUUUGCUUCUGGCAUUUCAAAGGAAGCUGAGGCCCUGUGCUGAGAGCAGCCAGGCAGCAGAGCGGAACUGGGGUCACCGAAACUGCUUUUGUCACCAGCGGUUUCCUCUCCAGGUGCAAACUGCAGCUCCUGUGUGUCUGCGUGGCUCUGUUCCGUCGGUUGGGUCAGUUGUUUUCACAGAGCACAGAAAGCAGUUGGGAACUGGGAGGGCUGAAAUGCUCUCCUUUCUCUCCCAUUUCAUCGCUGGGAAUGGCAUGGAGGGGUGAGCCCCGCUCGUCCUGAAAUCCUGCCCAGCUUGGGAACCAGGGCUCGCUUCUCCCUGCUGAGCAGCCCUGUUUGCUCACAGUUUCCCCUCAACCUUUGCAGGCUGUUUCAGGAAGCAGCACAGUCCCAUCUGCUUCUCCUUGGGGCCGAGGUGCAGUGAGCCGCACGGUGCAGCUACUCUGCAAAGGACCUUCUGCCCGGUGCCACCCCCCAGCACCCCCGGCACCAGGACUGGGCACGGUACAACACAGCUCGGAUGCCUGCAGGUGUGCAAGGUGGGAAUUCACCCAUCACCUUUAUUAGGACUUGAAAGAGCAGUUGGACGUUCGCGUCCCGCUAUUUACAUCCUUCCCAUUGGUUCUGAGAUUGCCCCUCACCAAAGGGACAUCCCUGAGACGCAGCUCCUGCCUGGAGAGGAGCAAGCCCUCUGUGUGCCCGUUGUCUCCCCGGUCUUUCCUAAAGUCUCUGGGAUAAAACGAGGCACUUGUGGAGGAUCCUCCAUUCUCAGACAGCAACCAACUUGGCCAACAUCCAGCUUGGCCAACUGGACGUAUCUAUGGCUUGAGAGAUAACACAGUGGCCCCAGAUCUACCAGCCCCAUGGUGCUGCUCACCAUGGCUCCCCUGCUAGGAGCAUGGGGCUGAUGGUGGGGUCUCACAGUCUGGCAGGGUCCUUGCAGCAUGGGGGGAGAUUGCAUGUGCCCGUGGGGUCACCAGCAUAGCACCUUGGUGGCAUUAACCAUGCCACAGCUCAGCACCAUGGUGUGGGGCUGCCUGGUGUUUGGGGCUGCUGGACUCUGAGGUUGGUUCCUAAUAUCUACAUAGGGUUUUGGGGUUCAGCAGUGGGGCAGGAAGGGCAGCAGCCAGGGCAGGACAGUCUUGCUGGGCACAGCCUGGAUGCAACCAAGCAAGAGCUGAGGGGCAGCAGGACCCGAGCUCUGUACAAGGCAGCUGGAAGUGGUGGCACCGAGUCCUUGGAGGUCCGUGGUGGCACGAGGACCCUGGAAGUCCAUGGUGGCACAAGUAUGGUGCUGCCAUGGGGUGGUGUUGCCAGUGCCAUCCUGGUGGUGGGUGCAGCACCCCUCACUCCUCUCCUGGGUGCUCCCCGACCGUCCAUUUGGCCUUCAUGUCCCGGAAAGGAGUGAUGUCCUCGUAGGUGGCAAUCUGCUCCACCUCCAGGCCCUGCACCAAGAAGGAGGAGGUUGGGAACAGGGAACCCCCAGUGGGGAUCCAUCCCCAGAGUGUUCCCCCAGGGAAGAGGACAGCUUCUGGGAUGGGAGGAGGCAGUAAUAGGUGGGUGAAUGUGCUUAGAGCUUGGCUUGGCUGUAUCAACAGCCCUUUAUGGCCAACGUGAAUCAAACACUGGGGAUGAACGUGCCCCAUGUGCCCUACAAGGACUGGUGGCAGACACCCAGGAGGGCACAGCUGCCUAGUCCAAGGGUCGAGGUGAUUUUGUAGAGGUAUUUCUACCAUUCAUGCAGCAUUACCUCAUAGGUGUGGUCUUCCUCAGGCCUUUCCUUUCUGUCACCCUAUGGAGAAGAAAGACACAGGCUGAGUGUCACCAGCACAGCAUGCUGUGGGGUCCUCCAUCCCCUGCCCCAAGGCCAGGUCCCACAGCUCCCACAGACAGUCCCACACACCCCAUGAAAUGCUCCCAUUCAGUGGCCCCAACCACAAUCUCUGUCCUCACUAACCUGCCCAGGACAUGGGACACUGCUGGGAGAAUGGCAAUGGCAAAACCAGGGACAGUCCCGCUACGGGAGAUGCUGUCGCUCACCUUUUCUAGGAAGAGGAGCAUGGGGACGCUGAUGAAGAUGACCAGCAGGAUGGUCUGGAUGAUGAUGAUGGUGUCCUUCAGCGUGUUCCUGUUCUGGAUCUGCUGGAUGUUGCUGCGACCUGGGAGCAGCAGCACAGGGAGAACCCCAAGUCCCAUCUCUGUGCUGGGCUCCCAGUGGGUGAGGACACGGGAGGGGACUGGGACAGUGUCCCUUGGGGGAGAACAGAGCAUUGCAACCUGCUGGGGCUGGCAUCAGGGGCUGGCUCCACUAUGGGAUGUCCUGAGCAAGACCAGGAGCGGGUUUUAUGUGGUUUAUGUGAGGAACACAGUCCCUGGGAUGUGUCUAUGGGAUGGGCAGACUACAUGUAAUGAGCCACCUGCUGUGUGACGGAGCACCCACUGCUGUAUCUGAAGCCCAUGUGAACAAGCCCAUGUGGACAAGCCCAUGUAGGACAAGCCCAUGUAGGACAAACCCAUGUGGACAAACCCAUGUAGGCCAUCCCAGAUAGAAUGGCGCACACCACGUGUCCAACACAGGGAGAGCCGGGUGCACAGGAGCGUGAUGUAGGGUUUACAGAGUUGGGAAAAAGGUGGAAAAAAAAAAAGGAGAAAAAAGUGAUGGAAGUGAUGAGACCCCCACUCACUCAUCACUCUGAUCUCCGUCCCACAUGAGUUUGGCUGCCUCUUCUCCUCCGUGAGGUUCUUGCUGUCGCACACGUAGAUGCCGUUGUCCUCGUAGCUGAUCCUGGAGAUGGUGAAGCUGAUGCGGUCAUUUGUGUUAUUGAUGCUGAAGCGAUCGGAGCUCUGAUCCAGCACGUGGAACUCCUUUCCAUUCCCCAGCGCCUUGUACCACUGCAUGGCGUGGGGCUGACUGGUGUAGCAGAUGAAGUGGACGGAUGUGUUCUUCUUGGCAGCAAUGUAGCGUGGGUGCUGCCACAUCCCGACGCACUCGCUGCCUACGGGGGACACGGGUGGGCACGGCAAGCCAACAGGCUUUGAGUGCAGACUUAGCUUUCUAUGGGAACGGCUUCAACAGGAUGGCUUCUUGGUGCUCCCACCCCUCUCUUUCUGCACCUCAUUAGGCCCAGCGUGCUCCCAAAUUACAGCCCAAUUAUCAGAGAGGCAAAGCGGAUCCAGCUGUGCAGAUGUGGGGCUGGGGAUGUGCCGUGGAGGAGGGCACAGCCUGGGGAAGGGCUUUGGGGCACCUCCAGCUCUGCUGGGGGAUGGGCAGCCCCAUGGAUGGGAGGCACCGUGGGGACGCGGGGAAGAGCCUGACAGGUUGGAGGUGUUACCUGUUCUGUUACUGGUGCUGUUCCCGUCUGUUGGGAUCCCACCUGCAGGAUUGAAGAAGGAGCUUGAGACAGUGGACAAGGGUCCGUGUAGGACAAACCCAUGUAGGACAAACCCAUGUAUGACAUGCACAUGUAGGACAAACCCAUGUAAGACAAGCCCACAUGGACAAGAACAUGCAGGACAAACUCAUGUAGGACAAGCCCUUGUAGGACAAACCCAUGUAGGAGAAACUCACGUAGGACAAACCCAUGUAGUACAAACCCGUGUAGGACAAACUCGUGGAUAAGAACUUGUAGGACAAAUUCACGAAGGACAAACCCAUAUAGGACAACCCAUGUAGGAUGAGCCCUUGUAGGACAAACCCAUGUGGAACAAACUUAUGUAGGACAAGCCCUUGUGGGACAAGCCCAUACGGGACAAACCCAUGUGAAGAAGCCUACACAGUACAAGGACAAUGUCUGACAAGCCCAUGUUGACAAACACACGUAAGAAAUCCUAGAUGGGAUGACAGGUACUGUGCAUGCCCACCCCACACGGGACAGCGUGCUUCGGAGCAUCAACCAGGACAUAUGAGUGCAAACCCUUCUACGUCCACCCCAUCUCCUGAAUUUCCUCUAGGCAACCUUCACGCGUGACCACAAAGUUCGAAGCAGAUCCAUUUGGAUGUGGUUGGCUGGAUGGAAUCCCGUGGUGCACAAAGCGUAGGGACGCGUGGCACCGUCGGCUCUUCCUCACUGCUACGACCCUCUGCAGCGCGGAGCCCGCACUGGUGCCUACCUGCAGCCACGGCCAUCAGCCAGAGGUUGACCUGGAGCACCCACAGCCUCCUGCAGAAAUCUCCCAUCUUCUCACUGCAGGCAGCAGGGCAGCAUCCAGCUGCCAACCUUUGCACCGCGGUGCUCCGACCUCCGCAGCCGAAAAUGGCGAAGUGCUGCUCUACGCACGACGCUGCCUUUCCUGCUCAUGUAAAUGGGCUGCGGCGGGGACUUUCCUUGGGGGGGUGGUUUUGAAUGCAGUGCAGACGCUGGGGGGGGCCGUCCCUGUGCUUGGCAAUGCCAACCCUGGGCUUGCAAAGCUAUGCAGGGACAAGAGCCAGUGCUGUCCCCGCAGGGAGCCCAAGCGAGGCAGGAUUUGGGAACAGACUGCCCAGGGAGGUGGGGAAAUCACCAUCCCUGGAGGUGUUUCAGAGUUAUGGAGAUGUGGCACUGAGGGACGUGGAGGAUGGGUUGGGGUUGGCCUUGGAGAUCUCCAGCCUGAAUGAUGGGCACAGUGGGAUGGGUUGGAGUUGGACUUGGGGAUCUUGGAGGUCUUUUCCGACCUUAACAACUCAGAGAAUGAGCACGGUGGGAUGGGUGCACCUCCAAGAGCCCCAAGUCCAACCCCAACCCAUCCCCACCAUGGAAUCAUUCAGAUUGGAAAAGACCUCCAAGAUCAUCAAAUCCAACCGUCCUUUCCAUCCUGAAUGACUCUGUAAGUGGGCACAGUGGGGAUGGGUUGGGGUUGGACUUGGGGAUCUUGGAGGCCUUUUCCAACCUUCACAGCUCUGUGAUUCUGUUUGGGGACGUGGUUUAGUGGGCAUGGUGGAGAUGGUUGAUGCUUGGACUUGGUGAUAUUAGAAGUCUUGAAGAUUUCA